rnacentral:rRNA from 1 species
GACGAACGCUGGCGGCGUGCCUAAUACAUGCAAGUUGAGCGGUGAAGGUUGGUACUUGUACCGACUGGAUGAGCAGCGAACGGGUGAGUAACGCGUGGGGAAUCUGCCUUUGAGCGGGGGACAACUUCUGGAAACGAAUGCUAAUACCGCAUAAAAACUUUAAACACUAGUUCUAAGUGUGAAAGAUGCAAUUGCAUGACUCAAAGAGGAUCCCGCAUUGUUUUAGAUAGUUGGUGAGGUAAAGGGCCACCAAGGCGAGGAGACAUAGCCGACCUGAGAGGCUGGUCGGACACAGUGGGACCGAGAGAUGGACCAAACUCCUACGGGAGGCAGCAGUAGGGAUUCUUCGGCAAUAGACGAGAGUCGGACCGAGCAACGCCGCGGUAGAGAAGAAGGAUUUCGGCUCGGAAAAAUCUGUUGGUAGGGAAGAACGUUAGUGAGAGUGGAAAGCUCAUCAAGUGACGGUAACUACACAGAAAGGGACGGCUAACUACGUG